GGUUAAGCGACUAAGCGUACACGGUGGAUGCCCUGGCAGUCAGAGGCGAUGAAGGACGUGCUAAUCUGCGAUAAGCGUCGGUAAGGUGAUAUGAACCGUUAUAACCGGCGAUUUCCGAAUGGGGAAACCCAGUGUGAUUCGUCACACUAUCAUUAACUGAAUCCAUAGGUUAAUGAGGCGAACCGGGGGAACUGAAACAUCUAAGUACCCCGAGGAAAAGAAAUCAACCGAGAUUCCCCCAGUAGCGGCGAGCGAACGGGGAGCAGCCCAGAGCCUGAAUCAGUGUGUGUGUUAGUGGAAGCGUCUGGAAAGGCGCGCGAUACAGGGUGACAGCCCCGUACACAAAAAUGCACAUACUGUGAGCUCGAUGAGUAGGGCGGGACACGUGGUAUCCUGUCUGAAUAUGGGGGGACCAUCCUCCAAGGCUAAAUACUCCUGACUGACCGAUAGUGAACCAGUACCGUGAGGGAAAGGCGAAAAGAACCCCGGCGAGGGGAGUGAAAAAGAACCUGAAACCGUGUACGUACAAGCAGUGGGAGCCUCUUUAUGGGGUGACUGCGUACCUUUUGUAUAAUGGGUCAGCGACUUAUAUUCUGUAGCAAGGUUAACCGAAUAGGGGAGCCGAAGGGAAACCGAGUCUUAACUGGGCGUUAAGUUGCAGGGUAUAGACCCGAAACCCGGUGAUCUAGCCAUGGGCAGGUUGAAGGUUGGGUAACACUAACUGGAGGACCGAACCGACUAAUGUUGAAAAAUUAGCGGAUGACUUGUGGCUGGGGGUGAAAGGCCAAUCAAACCGGGAGAUAGCUGGUUCUCCCCGAAAGCUAUUUAGGUAGCGCCUCGUGAAUUCAUCUCCGGGGGUAGAGCACUGUUUCGGCAAGGGGGUCAUCCCGACUUACCAACCCGAUGCAAACUGCGAAUACCGGAGAAUGUUAUCACGGGAGACACACGGCGGGUGCUAACGUCCGUCGUGAAGAGGGAAACAACCCAGACCGCCAGCUAAGGUCCCAAAGUCAUGGUUAAGUGGGAAACGAUGUGGGAAGGCCCAGACAGCCAGGAUGUUGGCUUAGAAGCAGCCAUCAUUUAAAGAAAGCGUAAUAGCUCACUGGUCGAGUCGGCCUGCGCGGAAGAUGUAACGGGGCUAAACCAUGCACCGAAGCUGCGGCAGCGACACUAUGUGUUGUUGGGUAGGGGAGCGUUCUGUAAGCCUGUGAAGGUGUGCUGUGAGGUAUGCUGGAGGUAUCAGAAGUGCGAAUGCUGACAUAAGUAACGAUAAAGCGGGUGAAAAGCCCGCUCGCCGGAAGACCAAGGGUUCCUGUCCAACGUUAAUCGGGGCAGGGUGAGUCGACCCCUAAGGCGAGGCCGAAAGGCGUAGUCGAUGGGAAACAGGUUAAUAUUCCUGUACUUGGUGUUACUGCGAAGGGGGGACGGAGAAGGCUAUGUUGGCCGGGCGACGGUUGUCCCGGUUUAAGCGUGUAGGCUGGUUUUCCAGGCAAAUCCGGAAAAUCAAGGCUGAGGCGUGAUGACGAGGCACUACGGUGCUGAAGCAACAAAUGCCCUGCUUCCAGGAAAAGCCUCUAAGCAUCAGGUAACAUCAAAUCGUACCCCAAACCGACACAGGUGGUCAGGUAGAGAAUACCAAGGCGCUUGAGAGAACUCGGGUGAAGGAACUAGGCAAAAUGGUGCCGUAACUUCGGGAGAAGGCACGCUGAUAUGUAGGUGAAGUCCCUUGCGGAUGGAGCUGAAAUCAGUCGAAGAUACCAGCUGGCUGCAACUGUUUAUUAAAAACACAGCACUGUGCAAACACGAAAGUGGACGUAUACGGUGUGACGCCUGCCCGGUGCCGGAAGGUUAAUUGAUGGGGUUAGCGGUAACGCGAAGCUCUUGAUCGAAGCCCCGGUAAACGGCGGCCGUAACUAUAACGGUCCUAAGGUAGCGAAAUUCCUUGUCGGGUAAGUUCCGACCUGCACGAAUGGCGUAAUGAUGGCCAGGCUGUCUCCACCCGAGACUCAGUGAAAUUGAACUCGCUGUGAAGAUGCAGUGUACCCGCGGCAAGACGGAAAGACCCCGUGAACCUUUACUAUAGCUUGACACUGAACAUUGAGCCUUGAUGUGUAGGAUAGGUGGGAGGCUUUGAAGUGUGGACGCCAGUCUGCAUGGAGCCGACCUUGAAAUACCACCCUUUAAUGUUUGAUGUUCUAACGUUGGCCCCUGAUCGGGGUUGCGGACAGUGUCUGGUGGGUAGUUUGACUGGGGCGGUCUCCUCCUAAAGAGUAACGGAGGAGCACGAAGGUUGGCUAAUCCUGGUCGGACAUCAGGAGGUUAGUGCAAUGGCAUAAGCCAGCUUGACUGCGAGCGUGACGGCGCGAGCAGGUGCGAAAGCAGGUCAUAGUGAUCCGGUGGUUCUGAAUGGAAGGGCCAUCGCUCAACGGAUAAAAGGUACUCCGGGGAUAACAGGCUGAUACCGCCCAAGAGUUCAUAUCGACGGCGGUGUUUGGCACCUCGAUGUCGGCUCAUCACAUCCUGGGGCUGAAGUAGGUCCCAAGGGUAUGGCUGUUCGCCAUUUAAAGUGGUACGCGAGCUGGGUUUAGAACGUCGUGAGACAGUUCGGUCCCUAUCUGCCGUGGGCGCUGGAGAACUGAGGGGGGCUGCUCCUAGUACGAGAGGACCGGAGUGGACGCAUCACUGGUGUUCGGGUUGUCAUGCCAAUGGCACUGCCCGGUAGCUAAAUGCGGAAGAGAUAAGUGCUGAAAGCAUCUAAGCACGAAACUUGCCCCGAGAUGAGUUCUCCCUGACUCCUUGAGAGUCCUGAAGGAACGUUGAAGACGACGACGUUGAUAGGCCGGGUGUGUAAGCGCAGCGAUGCGUUGAGCUAACCGGUACUAAUGAACCGUGAGGCUUAACCUU
rnacentral:rRNA from 1 species